rnacentral:rRNA from 1 species
UACGAAGGGGGCUAGCGUUGCUCGGAAUGACUGGGCGUAAAGGGCGCGUAGGCGGAUGGCACAGUCAGAUGUGAAAUUCCCGGGCUUAACCUGGGGGCUGCAUUUGAUACGUGUGAUCUAGAGUGAGGAAGAGGGUCGUGGAAUUCCCAGUGUAGAGGUGAAAUUCGUAGAUAUUCGCAAGAACACCAGUGGCGAAGGCGGCUCACUGGCCCGAUACUGACGCUGAGGCACGAAAGCGUGGGGAGCAAACAGG